CUCUAGCUAAUCUAGUGGCUAGGGCUCCUGAUUUUCAACCAGGCUGCUCAGGUUCAAUUCCUGAGCAAAAAA
rfam:Sus scrofa chromosome X.